rnacentral:lncRNA from 1 species
CUAUCUAUCUAUCUAUGUAUUCAUUUUUGUCUUUUGAGACAGCCCUGGGUGUCCUAGAACUCACUCUGUAGAUCAGGCUGGUCUUGAACUCACAGAGAUCUGCCUGCCUCUGCCUCCUGAGUGCUGGGAUUAAAUGUGAGCACCACUACACCUGACUAUGCUUGGGCAAUUUCUAAAAUCUUUUUGUGGGUCUCAGUGCUCCAGCGCAGGGGCUAAGGUAGGACCUAUCAAGGAGUAAGCCAGUUCCUGCAAACUGCAGUAUUCAGGGCUCCUGGAAAGCGCUCAUUCAAUCUAAAGCCACAUGCCAAGUAUGGCUGGCAAGUACUUCAUGUAUGUGUGUGAGAGUUUGUCAUGGAGCUGUGUGCUUGGCUUUGUGACACAAAGUACCUGCAUGCCUCCUCCUCCCCUCUCUCUGUGCUCAGGCUUUAACUGAAGCUUCUCUUCCCUCUUGCUGUGACCCCAGGGCAGUCUGAAGAAGUUCCUGUUUCUGUGACCAGAGCUGCAUUUGUCAUGUUUGAGGUUUUCCUGGUCCCAAAUCCCCAGCUCCACUCUUGGCCCUCACCCCUUCUACGUUACAUCACCCCUCCAAGUACUCAUGUUAAAACUGCCUGCUGUCUGAGCGUCGUCGCCAACGGCCUGAGCAAGUCUGGUGACUGUGGACCAGAAAGACCGGGAAUGCAGAUAUAGCCUGCUGAAUUGCAUGUGGAGAGAAUUUACGAGCGGCACAGAUCCCAUAUUUCACAUGAAUGGUUUCCCCAGUUUGCAUUUUCCAGUAGUAGCAAGCUCAACUCUGUUAUUGACAGAUCGCCCUGGGGCCGCCAGCUACAGCCCUGUUUGCAUAGCCAGCUGAGGUGGCACUUUCUCUUGGACAUAUUUUCACAAACAAGUCCUUGACUCUUGUCCCCACAUCUUUCCAAAGCCAGCUCCUUCCUGAGUGGUGGCCUUCAUUAUGACAGUUAAACAGCAAGCCUAAGCAAGCAUCCUACGCAAGUGAUCAGGGGAGAAAUGUCUUGAAGAGAUUAUAAAGAAAGGCAGCCAACAAAGAAAUUCCUCCUCAGAAUACGACUUUCUGGGCAGUUUUUCAACAAUGCAAAAACACAUGUGCAAGUUACCCAAGAUCUCUUUCUCCAGGGUCCCAUGGUUCGGCUUGGCUGUCAACUGCCCCAUUCCCAUCAGUGGACAGCGGCCGGGAGAGAAAGCAACCUCUGUGACUGUAAGUGAUUCCCAGGCUGGCUAUUGCCACCUGUCAUAGAUCCCGCUGACGCACCUCCACUGUCACACCGGCAGCGCUCCACCCAUCGUCCUGUCCCGAAUUUCUUAAGACCCACAGACUGAGUGUUCUCUACUGACCACAGCUCAGCACUGGAAGCUGGGGCUGGUGGGUGGGGGAAGGUAAAGUGUUUCCAUCCAAAGGAUUUUUUUUUGUUGUUUUUUUUCUGGGACAGAGAGCCUAAAAUAACACAGAGCUAUGUCGAGUCUUUCCAGGGGAAUGCGGGGGCAGUGAUUGCCGUGGCCGCUGCUUCUGCUGUGACUCCAGAAAAUUUCCGGGAACAUGGUGUGUUCAUGAGGAUCCUGGGCACUGUGCUCAUAGACCUAGUGUGAUGGACACUCUCGCCUGGGAUGCUGAGAAAUGAGGACGUAAACUAGUGAAGUCCUGGCUCUUCUGUCCUUGGAGAUGAAAGCAUUU